rnacentral:rRNA from 1 species
GGAGGUAGUGACAAUAAAUCACAAUGCGGAACAAUGUUUUGCAAUUGGAUUGAGAACAACGUACAAACCUUAUCGAUAAACAAUUGGAGGGCAAGUCUGGUGCCAGCAGCCGCGGUAAUUCCAGCUCCAAUAGCGUAUAUUAACGUUGUUGCAGUUAAAAAGCUCGUAGUUGAAAUGAAGAGUGUGUUGUUGUGGUAAUACAUUCGUGUAUUGUCAACAUCAACCAUUCUCCUUCUAAAUAAUGUAUAUGAGUAUUAAUUUACUUGUAUAUGUAUUUAGACAUUUACUGUGAGAAAAUUAGAGUGUUCAAAGCAGGCAUUUGCUUGAAUAUAUUAGCAUGGAAUAAUCAUGUAUGAUUUUCAUGAUGUAUUUGAUUGGUUUGGUUCAUGAGAAUAAGAUUAAAGGGGACAGUUGGGGGUAUUCAUAUUCAAUAGUCAGAGGUGAAAUUCUCGGAUUUAUGGAAGAUGAACAAGUGCGAAAGCA